AGGCAGCAGUUGGGAAUAUUGGACAAUGGGCGCAAGCCUGAUCCAGCCAUGCCGCGUGAGUGAUGAAGGCCUUAGGGUUGUAAAGCUCUUUUGUCCGGGACGAUAAUGACGGUACCGGAAGAAUAAGCCCCGGCUAACUUCGUGCCAGCAGCCGCGGUAAUACGAAGGGGGCUAGCGUUGCUCGGAAUCACUGGGCGUAAAGGGCGCGUAGGCGGCCGAUUAAGUCGGGGGUGAAAGCCUGUGGCUCAACCACAGAAUUGCCUUCGAUACCGGUUGGCUUGAGACCGGAAGAGGACAGCGGAACUGCGAGUGUAGAGGUGAAAUUCGUAGAUAUUCGCAAGAACACCAGUGGCGAAGGCGGCUGUCUGGUCCGGUUCUGACGCUGAGGCGCGAAAGCGUGGGGAGCAAACAGGAUUAGAUACCCGAGUAGUCC
rnacentral:rRNA from 1 species